GCCUGGGUAGCUCAGUCAGUUAAGUGUCUGACUUCAGCUCAGGUCAUGAUCUCGCAGUUUUGUGCGUUUUGGGUUCAAGCCCCACAUCAGGCU
rnacentral:tRNA from 1 species